GACGAACGCUGGCGGCGUGCCUAAUACAUGCAAGUAGAACGCUGAAGCUUGGUGCUUGCACCGAGCGGAUGAGUUGCGAACGGGUGAGUAACGCGUAGGUAACCUGCCUGGUAGCGGGGGAUAACUAUUGGAAACGAUAGCUAAUACCGCAUAACAGUAGAUGUCGCAUGACAUUUGCUUAAAAGGUGCAAUUGCAUCACUACCAGAUGGACCUGCGUUGUAUUAGCUAGUUGGUGAGGUAACGGCUCACCAAGGCGACGAUACAUAGCCGACCUGAGAGGGUGAUCGGCCACACUGGGACUGAGACACGGCCCAGACUCCUACGGGAGGCAGCAGUAGGGAAUCUUCGGCAAUGGACGGAAGUCUGACCGAGCAACGCCGCGUGAGUGAAGAAGGUUUUCGGAUCGUAAAGCUCUGUUGUAAGAGAAGAACGAGUGUGAGAGUGGAAAGUUCACA
rnacentral:rRNA from 1 species